rfam:Candidatus Levybacteria bacterium RIFCSPHIGHO2_01_FTLL_37_17 rifcsphigho2_01_scaffold_4182, whole genome shotgun sequence.
UAUCCUGUACAAUCGUUGAGAUUUGAGAAGUUUCGUCCCUAGUACGAGAGGACUGGGAUGAGGGAAUCCCUGGUGUGUCAGUUGUUUCUGAAAAAGAGCAUCGCUGAGUAGCUAGAUUCCCAACCGAUAACCGCUGAAAGCAUCUAAGUGGGAAGCGGUCUUCAAGAUUAGAUCUCGUGCAGUCGCAAGAUUGCGGAAGCCCCUGGUAGACUACCAGGUUGAUAGGCGGGCGGUGUAAGAGCUGUGAGGCUUUUAGCCAACCCGUACUAAUGGUUUUAAUAUAGAUUUA